UACGGGGGGGGCAAGCGUUGUUCGGAAUUACUGGGCGUAAAGGGCUCGUAGGCGGCCAACUAAGUCGGAUGUGAAAUCCCCAGGCUUAGCCUGGGAACUGCAUCCGAUACUGGAUGGCUUGAAUCCGGGAGAGGGAUGCAGAAUUCCAGGUGUAGCGGUGAAAUGCGUAGAUAUCUGGAGGAAUACCGGUGGCGAAGGCGGCAUCCUGGACCGGCAUUGACGCUGAGUGAGCGAAAGCCAGGGGAGCAAACGGG
rnacentral:rRNA from 1 species